rnacentral:rRNA from 1 species
GACGAACGCUGGCGGCAGGCCUAACACAUGCAAGUCGAGCGAGCGGCGGACGGGUGAGUAAUGUAUGGGGACUGCCUGAUAGAGGGGGAUAACUACUGGAAACGGUGGCUACUACCGCAUACUAUCGGAUAACCCAUAUGGGAUUAGCUAGUAGGUGGGGUAAAGGCUCACCUAGGCGACGAUCUCUAGCUGGUCUGAGAGGAUGAUCAGCCACACUGGGACUGAGACACGGCCCAGACUCCUACGGAGGCAGCAGUGGGGAAUAUUGCACAAUGGGCGCAAGCCUGAUGCAGCCAUGCCGCGUGUAUGAAGAAGGCCUUAGGGUUGUAAAGUACUUUAAGUUGGGAGGCGUUACCAACAGAAUAAGCACCGGCUAACUUCGUGCCAGCAGCCGCGGUAAUUC